ensembl:lncRNA
AUCUGUGUCUACUUGACUAAUUGUUAUUAUAAUGUGUUACCUCAACAGGUUUGAUCGGGGAAAUUGUUCUUCUUUACACUGUUUAAACAUGUGUAGAGGUUUUAGACAAGGCACACUUUAUUAGACAUUACAACCAAUAUAUUCAGCAUUGCGAUGAUACUUAUGCCAGACCAAUACCAGUCUCAAUAUUUGGUUUAUUUCAGAUAUUUUUUGGUGUGUGUGUCCACACCUGUCCUGUACACAGUAGCCUAUAGUUCUAAACCUUAAACAAUUAGAUCUGUCUAGCAACAAAGUUUGCACAACAUAUAUGAAUUUUGGUUGGUGUUUGUUCUUAAUGUAUCAAAUUUCAUGUCAGCUGAUUGGAGUUGGUUUUAAAGGUCUCCUCCUUUAUAGAGGGUAAAUAUGUAGUGUUCUGAGAUUUAUUUCGCUUCGGUGGAAGGAAGAGCGCUGGGUCACAUGCAGCAGACUAGAAUAUUGGAUCAGAUUUUCAAAAUUAGAAAACUACACAACAACAUCAACUUUAGUUUCAAUGCAGUGAAAAUAUCAAGGUCUAUAAAUGAAGAAAAGAAGAAAUGUUUGUAAAAGACUUUUGUGGUUUUUCCAGCAGAAGGACCCGGAAAACUUAAGCUCAAUGAAAAUUCAAUUCUGUAUGGAAAUGCAGAUGGAACUUGGUCUGUCGCUCGUUCAGCAGUCUGUAGUAGCUAAGGAGACUUCAGAACAGAAAUAACUCAGAGUCCUGUUGUGCUUACCGCAUUGGUGCCAAACUUGAAUGGCUACUCCACUGAGCAAGGAUAAAAGGUUUCACAGACAAAUCCUCUGGAUGGAAAACUUUUUUUCACACAUGGCCACUGCUUGAGUGGAGCGGCAUCCUGUUUUUGAACGCUGCGCCUGAAAGCUGCCCUGUGUCUCGCUGAUCUAUCCACGAACAGACAAAAUGAUUUCGGACAUGUUUCUGGGGCAGCUUAACUCUCAAGGAUUUGGAGCCGCACACACAGGACUGUUGUAUCACAGGCAGCACGACGGAAAGGGGGUUGUCAGCCUCCGAAAUUUGACGGUUUUGCCCUGCGUGAGACGAGUUGCCUUGGCUGCCACAAACGAGAUGUGCAUAAGGAUGACCCUUGUCUUUGACCAAGGGUUUCAGGGUUUUUUCUGGCUGUGGAAUCGCGUGACACGAAUGCUCUUCUAAGAGAAACACAGGCUGCUGACAGGGGCCUGUUAAAGGACUCAACCUCCCGGACCCUAUCUUCACUCCAGUCAGCUUCCCAUCAUCUUGCACUAGAUUUGCUAGUGUCACUGGGGCUUCAGAAAUCUUGGCCUUUGUGUGAUGGAGGGGCUAGGUCACCUUAGUCAAGAUUUUAGAAAUUUCGGUCUAUCAUCACCCAAAAAUUAGACUA